rnacentral:rRNA from 1 species
AUUGAACGCUGGCGGCAGGCCUAACACAUGCAAGUCGAGCGGAAACGAGUUAUCUGAACCUUCGGGGAACGAUAACGGCGUCGAGCGGCGGACGGGUGAGUAAUGCCUAGGAAAUUGCCCUGAUGUGGGGGAUAACCAUUGGAAACGAUGGCUAAUACCGCAUGAUGCCUACGGGCCAAAGAGGGGGACCUUCGGGCCUCUCGCGUCAGGAUAUGCCUAGGUGGGAUUAGCUAGUUGGUGAGGUAAGGGCUCACCAAGGCAACGAUCCCUAGCUGGUCUGAGAGGAUGAUCAGCCACACUGGAACUGAGACACGGUCCAGACUCCUACGGGAGGCAGCAGUGGGGAAUAUUGCACAAUGGGCGCAAGCCUGAUGCAGCCAUGCCGCGUGUAUGAAGAAGGCCUUCGGGUUGUAAAGUACUUUCAGUCGUGAGGAAGGCGUUGUCGUUAAUAGCGGCAUCGUUUGACGUUAGCGACAGAAGAAGCACCGGCUAACUCCGUGCCAGCAGCCGCGGUAAUACGGAGGGUGCGAGCGUUAAUCGGAAUUACUGGGCGUAAAGCGCAUGCAGGUGGUUUGUUAAGUCAGAUGUGAAAGCCCGGGGCUCAACCUCGGAAUAGCAUUUGAAACUGGCAGACUAGAGUACUGUAGAGGGGGGUAGAAUUUCAGGUGUAGCGGUGAAAUGCGUAGAGAUCUGAAGGAAUACCGGUGGCGAAGGCGGCCCCCUGGACAGAUACUGACACUCAGAUGCGAAAGCGUGGGGGAGCAAACAGG